rnacentral:lncRNA from 1 species
AGAAUGUAUAAAUUUUAUAAAAUAUAUAAUCUAUAAAUUUUAAUUGAUAAACUUUAAGAGUUUCAAUAAAAUUUACAAGUAUUAUGAUACAUGAUACAUUAUAUGCAGUUUCACUAAGAAGUAUAAGGAUUAUAUAUACAUCAAAUUAGUCUAAAAAAAUUUGUAAUAUGCUAAAAAUUUUGAAAAAAACAUACGAAAUUUUGUCUGCAUCUUGUUUAUAUCAUGCGUAGCUCUUGGACCCCGAUGUAUGAGGAAUAGAUAGAGC